rnacentral:rRNA from 1 species
UGGUCCUACGGGGGGCCGCAGUGAGGAAUAUUGGUCAAUGGUCGGGAGACUGAACUAGCCAAGCCGCGUGAGGGAGGAAGGUACAGAGUAUCGUAAACCUCUUUUGUCAGGGAACAAAGACUGGGACGCGUCCCCGGAUGGGUGUACCUGAAGAAAAAGCAUCGGCUAACUCCGUGCCAGCAGCCGCGGUAAUACGAAGGAUGCGAGCGUUAUCCGGAUUUAUUGGGUUUAAAGGGUGCGUAGGCGGACUGUUAAGUCAGCGGUAAAAGCCCGGGGCUCAACCCCGGCGAGCCGUUGAAACUGGC